CUGGACUAAAUGGGCUAGAUCUGGAUGCUCCACGAGAUCAAGUUCAAAGUGGGUCAGAGGGCUGACAAAAUAUGAAUUUCGCCUUCCCAGCACAGUAUUUCUACAGGAAAGCUGAUAUGCCUGUCUUGACAGUGGAACAAGGGCAAUCAUGGAUGGUGCUAUUAUCUACAGCAUCGGAACCUGCUGGAGAACACUGUGCAAGCGGAUAAGGGAGCUUCACCAGUAACCAGUGUUAUGCUGCUGGGCAUUGAGGAUGGAGGGCGAUGCUGUUGAAAUACACUUUGUUGACUUGUGGCAAUGCCAGAUCUUUAACUACUGAGUGAGGCUACGGAUCAAACCUGCAUUGAACAUGGACACUAUGUUGGGUUCUUAACCCACUGAGCCACAACAGGAACUUGUCAAAGCUGGAGAUUCUUGCAUGGCAGGUACGUAUCUUUUGAAUGAUUUCCGCCGUGAGCAAUGUGAUGGAGAAGUGGUCAUUUAAAAUUUUUUGUGUUGAUUCAAAGUCUGUCUACCUAUUUGUUUUUCCACUUAAUAAAGAUGAAUACAGCAAUUGGAAACUCCACAGGGCUUAGAAUUUAAGAUGGUAAUGCUUUGAUAAAUAUUUAAAACUGUUUUCUGACUUAGUCUUCUCAUUUGGUCUCUUAGCAGCCCCACGAAGGAGGUGGAGUGGACCUUAGUCCUGGCCUCAGUGACCAGGAUGUCCAGGCUCAGGAGGCUGGGUUUGGCCACUGUUCCCUAAGCAACUCAUGGAGCAGGGCUGGGUUAGAUUUCUGCCCUUUAAAUCAAGAAACAGCCUGAUUUUCACAAUUUUUUCUUGUUACAGUCCUCAGGGAAACCUCUUCCUCCAUGUCCAUUUCCACAUUCACAUUUUCACUUGACUUUGAAGUUUCAGGAUCUCUUAGCAUAGCCUGAAUGGCUUUGGGGUCAGUGUGAGCUGCGUUCUUGGCCAGGUUUUGCCAGCUUUUUAACAUUGGCUGAGUUAUGCAACUUUUUUGGGUCCCACUUUCUCAUCAUAUGCUCUGGGAGGAUUAUUUUCCUAUGAGGAAAAUGAAUGUAGUACAUCUAAGACAUCCAACAAAGAACCUCCAAAACAGUGGCCCCUUUGAUGGUUCUGUUUAAUUAAUGCCCAGAAGGAAGAGUGGAUGGUCUGAGGAAUCAGUGUUUGGGGUCCUCAGAACCAGCUGGAUGGUCUUAGAUAAAUAUCAGGCAUUCUGCAUCUCAGCAUCAUCAUAAAUAAAAUGAUGGCGGUCCCUAAGUACAUUCAUUCCAUGAUUCACAGCCAGAAUAUUGAGAGAGAACUGCAAAGAAAGAAGUCUCCACUUUACCUGGUUAACUCAAAGAGAUCUAAACUUCAUGUACAGGAACACUUAGGAAACUUCUGAAUACAGUAUGAGGGGCAGAGAAUCCCUGCAAGAGGCCCAGAACAUUCUUGGUGGUGUUUCAGUGUGUUAAAGAAGUGACAAAUGAGGCAUUUAUUGUGUAUUUAAGAUUGAGCGAGGGUUAUCCUUUAAAAAAAUAACCUUUACCUUUGAUUCUUUCAAAAGAUGUUCGCAUUCCUCAGAGCACUUUGAAGGCAACAUGGGAAUGGAAAAUUUUAGUGUUUCCAAAGGAAUUUAGAGGCACAGAACUUAGAUGUCAGGCUCAGAUCAAAUAAAAAUAACUUUUUAGGUCUCUAUUUAUUAAAAAUGUAUGUCUUAUUUCUAACCACUUUCUUCUGCAGCACUUACACACUAAUCAGAACACAGUUUGAAGCUUUUUUUUGAGAACCCCCAAGUCCUUUCUCUCCUGCCCAAAUGUUGCUCUUUCUUGAAGCCCUCAAGAAAGCAAACAAGCCAAAGGCAGAUAGAGACCAUAGACCCUCCUCCUUCAAUUGAACAUGUUACGUUCACCUUCAUUUGUCAGGAAAUUGACAUUUGUGAGAAAGCUGACUUGGAAACAAAAUCUACAUGCGGCGGCCUUGUCUGACACUGCAAUCUCUCAUGGAGAGGGUGGAAGAGGGUCUCAUAUGCCAUUUGCACAAUUAAUAUAAUAUUCAGUUAUACCUGUAAGUAUAUCCAUGCUUUUUCAGAUUCUUUUGUCACACAUGUUAUCACAGACUGUUGAGGAGAGUCCCUUUCUGCCUCAUCUUGCAGUUUUCCAAAAGAAGGCUGCCUGCUUCAUGAAGUAUUAAAUAAAAUCUGUUCGGAUCACCUAAAAAAUUAAUAUACUGAAGGCAACAUUUACAAGAAGUGGUUCCAAGUUCCAGCUCCAGUGAAAUCUCCUCAUGUUCUCUUACAAGUCACACAUUGUUCUGGACUAUUUUCUAUACUUCCUUCUUCUUUCAACACACUUUGUCUUUUGCCUGCCUUCUUUCCCUUUAAAAAGGCAAACCAGGGUGAUUUCAUUCCUUUCCUAAACUUUGUCCUUCCUAUCGAGCAUUAGAACAGGGUAUCAUCCUUUUAUUAUAAAAGAAUCCCUAUUUACUUAUCCAAUCCAGUAUGGACAGGAAAUCAAAGAUGAGCAUGCUUUCAUGUCUUUCUUUUGUGUAAGAAUUUGCACUAUCUCCAUAGUUUCAUUUAGUUAAGCGUCUGUUGAUUACGUGCUAGUUCUGCACUGUAGACGGAAUAGUGAAUAGAUAGAGUCUCUACCUUCAAUGAGUUUUCAGUCUAAGGGAGAAAAAUGAAAUUAAACAUAUCCUAUCUAAGCAGCAAAAUCUACUUGGAAGAGUUUUAUCCAUGAUCGAUAAAACACAGCAUCAUAAAACCCUCUUCUCUCUGUUUUCCUUGUUCACAAAAUAAAUCGAUGUGAUUAGGCUAGAUGGUGAUUUCUGCUCAGCUAUCCCAUAUUGGUUGAGUGAUAAAGCCUUAUUUUGGUCUCCUCAUAGUCUAGUUUCAUUUUUUUGUAAUGGUGACAUUCAGUGUCCCUUAGGGAAAUGGAGAAGGGGAGGGGGAGGUGGAAUGAUCUAAAGAACAGGAAUCAAAAUUGGAGUACAAGACUUAACUUCUCUGUAUUUUUCUAGUCUAGAGAGUGGAAAGAAUGCAUUAAGUCUGCACACAUGCACAAUUUCUCAAAGCAGGCUUGUUGCCAGCUUCGAUUUUGAAAGUUCAAUCAAGGAAAUCUCUUCUUAACCUCCUCAUCUUCCCUUUGAUUUUAUUCUAUAGCUCUAUGAUGAGUGAAAUAUUGUUCUCCAAAUUUCAGUCCUGGGUCAUGGGACAGAGGCCAGGAUUCAUCCUCAGAGGAGAUGCUCUGCUCUAAACUCCACCACCACUCAUUUGUAGGCACACCUCGUUUUAUUGUACUUUGCUUUAUGGUGCUACACACAGAUAUUGCGUUUUUACAAAAUGAAGCUUGCGCUAAGCAAGUCUGUAGGUGCCAUUUUCUCCAAAGUGUUUGCUCACUUUGUGUCUUUGUGUCCCAUUUUGGUAAUUCUUGCAAUAUUUUAAACCCUCCAUCAGCAAAAAA
ensembl:lncRNA